UGCUACUUGUCAAAAGAAAAUUUAGUGUUCCUUUAAUUGUGCUUGUUUUUGGUGCUUGUGAGAAAUGGGAGCGGUCUUAAAAACGAAGGAUAUUUGUGCCAACUUGGAGGAAAUCUUUCUGCACACUUUCAUUCAAGAAGCGCUCAUAAAGGCAGGCUAUAAGACGUAAGCCACCCUGGAGCUUCUAUAGACAAGGUCUGGAUAGGACCUGCUGGCGGCCUGUUAUGCCAACAUAGCCUACAAAGACUUGGGCAAGCUUCAAACGCGUCAGGCUGGGAGAUCUGAACAGAACCGCCGGUUCCUUUGAGAUUUUUCUGGAGCACAACAACCGAUGUCAGAAUGCCCUACUUGGAAGGGUCAUUCUGAAACUGAAUCAACACGACCCACGUCUCCAUAGGGAGGGUACAAAUCUCCUCAAUACAUCCUAUGAACUUGAUGAACGCCAUCCAGUAGUCUUCAGUUUCUUGCUACCUACAACUAUUUAAUUGAAGAUCACCAACUGCUGUAAAUUUGGCUCAAAUUUCCAUUGGCUUCUGCGACAUUGCGCAGCUGCAGUUGCUGUAAGGUGGCCAGAAUCACCAUGCAAGUGGGGAGUACAUCUUCGCCAGGACAUACUGCCAGAAUUCAGAGAGUUUAGCACCAGAAGGCUUCCACGAGGCCAAAGAGAAGAAAAUUCGGCGGUUAUGAAGUUGUAGUGCCCUACAAGUCCAUUAUCGCCAAAUAUCUAAGCUAUUAUGACUGCCUGAUUCCCGCUCAUAGACAACAACAAUAUUGCAGCCAGGACCUAUUCGGAAAGCUGAAACUUAGCAAAAAGUCCUCUAUCUUCGAUGUGAUCCUGCGUAGCUCGGGAAGUACGAUGAUGAUGAUGAUGACUCUAUCUAAGAAAAGUCCGAAAAGCGCGAUGAGAGGGGACUUGUCAUUAGCCAGAAAACAUCAGGAAUAUGCCUUGAACUUAAGGAUUCUCCAGCGCAGUUCCAGAAACUUUUAGGUCGCCAGUUAAAUUGGCUACCAGGCUAUUGAGCUACUACAUCGGGAAUUGAAGUCCCUGCAUAUUUCAAGACGAUGUCCCUAUCCAUUUCCCCGUCUCUGAAGUGGAUUUGGGCCAGUCCCAUUUGGGGCAGAACAUACCUUCAGGUGCGAAACUCACGGAAUCCCGAUAGUAUUUCAUGGAAUUUGUAUUCCCCACUUGCAUGGUGACUCUGGCCACCUUAUAGGAACUGCAGCUGCUUAAUGUCGAUGACCAGCUGGUGGUCCCCAGUGAAAUAGUAGUAGGUCGCAAGAAUACUUAAGCUACUUAAUGGCGUUCAUCAAGUUCAUAGACCGCAUUGAGCAGACUUACACCCUCCCUGCAGAGACGUGGGUCGCGUUGAUUAAGUUUUAGAAUGACCCUUCCAAGUAAGGGCAUUCUGACAUCGACUGUUGUGCUCCAGAGCCAUCUCAAAGGAACGGCGGCACUGUUCAGAUCACCCAUCUUGAAGCGUUGCCCCUCGAAGAUUGCUUAAGUCUUUGUAGGCCAUGUUGGCAAAACAGGCCGACAGGAGGUCCUAAGGAAGCUGCAGGGUGUUGUACAUCUUAUAACCUGCCUUUAUGAGCUAGGAACAGAAUGAAAGGCAGCUCAGGAAUGUAUUUACAUAUAUGUAAUUCCAAUUACGAAUCCUUUUAAUCCAUGAACGCACCGCUUUUUGAAUGCAAGUGUGCAGAAACAUUUCCUUUAAGCUAGGACAAAUGUCCUUCGCCGUAAAAACCGCUCUCAUUUCUACGAGCACCUAGCACUAGCAUGUUUAAAAGAACAAUGCGUUUUUUGAAAAGUAACAUUAGGGCUGCGAUGAUCCAGUUUAAGAAUGACCCCUCCACGUAGGCCAUUCUGACAUCGACUAUUGUGCUCCAGAGUCAUCUCAAGGGAACGACGCCACUGUUCAGAUCUGCCAUCCCGAGAAAACAAUGUCCUAUCACAAAGCGAACUUCAGCGGGUCCUAAUAUUAUAUUAUAAUCAGAAAUAGAGGGAAUUUUCGACGAAGAGCCCGAGCAAUUCCAGAAAGAAUACACAACCACCAACAGGAAAGUGUAGAUACAUUUCCGAACAGGGAAAUUAUGAUUGUAAUGCAAGCGAAAUCGAAUCUGCUGAAUAAUAAAGUGAACUCCAAUUAAUAAAAUAAA